rnacentral:rRNA from 1 species
GUUUCGGUCCGCCAGAAAUUGGUGGGUACCGUCCUUCCGGCUUCAUAUGUGAUAGUGGCGCACCAUGUGCCCGGAAGGGAUUGUCAUGGUUGAAGUGUGUUCAAAGGCUUUUCGGAGCUGGCGGCCCUUCUUGGGGGAGUUUCUUUACGGGAGCCCUCUCAGUGCUCUAUCUUGUUUACUUUGAAAAAAUUAGAGUGUUUAAAGCAGGCCGUUUCGGCCACUGUAUACAUUAGCAUGGGAUGAUAGAAUAGGACAUGAGUCCAUUUUGUUGGUUUUUAUGGGUCUCGCGUAAUGAUUAACAGGGACAGUUGGGGUGACUUGUAUUUGGGGGCGAGAGGUGAAAUUCUAUGAUCCCCCAAAGACAAACUACUGCGAAAGCAUUUCACAAACAUGUUUUCAUUAAUCAAGAACGAAAGUUAGGGGAUCGAAGACGAUCAGAUACCGUCGUAGUCUUAACCAUAAACGAUGCCGACCAAGGAUGGGGAAACGUUACCAUAUACAUGACUCUCCCUGCACUUUGCGAGAAAUCACAAGUCUUUGGGUUCGGGGGGGAGUACUGUCGCAAGGCUGAAACUUAAAGGAAUUGACGGAAGGGCACCACCAGGAGUGGAGCCUUCGGCUUAAUUUGACACAACACGGGAAAACUUACCAGGUCCAGACAUAGGGAGGAUUGACAGAUUGAGAGCUCUUUCUUGAUUCUAUGAUUGGUGGUGCAUGGCCGUUCUUAGUUCGUGGUGCGAACUGUCUGGUUAAUUCCGUUAACGAACGAGACCUUAACCUACUAAAUAGUGACUUUAAGAUGUUUGCGCUAAGGCUGGCUGCCGACCAUCUUGCGGAAGGAUCCGUUCCCCGUGAGCUGUUUCGUUGGUGUCAGUUGCAGGUCUUGAAGGGUCUACUUCUUAGGGGGACUUUUUGUGUUUAGCAAAAGGAAGUUUGAGGCAAUAACAGGUCUGUGAUGCCCUUCGAUGUUCUGGGCCGCACGCGCGCUACACUGACAAGUACAACGAGUAUAACACCUUGGCUGGGAAGUCUGGGUAAUCUUUUGAACGCUUGUCGUGAUGGGGAUAGAUGAUUGUAAUUAUUCAUCUUCAACGAGGAAUUCCUAGUAAGUGCAAGUCAUCAGCUUGCGCUGAUGUAGUCCCUGCCCUUUGUACACACCGCCCGUCGCUCCUACCGAUUGAAUGGUCCGGUGAAACCAUCGGAUUGAGGGGUCGUUUUUAUUGGUUGGUUUCGGCUGACCGAUAACGCCCGCGAAAAGUUGUUUAAACCUUACCAUUU